rnacentral:rRNA from 1 species
CCUACGUGUGGCAGCAGUGGGGAAUAUUGCACAAUGGGGGAAACACUGAUGCAGCAACGCCGCGUGAGUGAAGAAGUAUUUCGGUAUGUAAAGCUCUAUCAGCAGGGAAGAAAAUGACAGUACCUGACUACGAAGCCCCGGCUCACUACGUGACAGCAGCCGCGGUCAUACGUAGGGGGCAAGCGUUAUCCGGAUUUACUGGGUGUAAAGGGAGCGCAGACGGCUGCGCAAGUCAGCAGUGAAAGCCCGGGGCGCAACCGCGGGACUGCUUUUGAAACUGUGUAGCUAGAGUGCAGGAGAGGUAAGUGGAAUUCCUAGUGUAGCGGUGAAAUGCGUAGAUAUUAGGAGGAACACCGGUGGCGAAGGCGGCUUACUGGACUGUAACUGACGUUGAGGCUCGAAAGCGUGGGGAGCAAACAGGAUUAGAUACCCUUGUAGUC